CCCGGCAAAUCCGACGUCAAAUGUAAACAAUACGCGAGUCGGCAGCGACGGUGCAGCAAAGGCAGCCAAAGUGCUUAGGAACUGACGGGCUAACCUCAACGCAAACGAGGUGUAUGUGGGGAGGGGCAAUCACAGCAGCUAAUAAGGGAGUAGGGGAGUGUUCACACAUAACACAAACUGUGAUACAGAAGGAUAUGCAAAUGUGCUUACCUUCGACCUGGAGAGAGAGGUAUAAGUGAGCAAGCUAAAGGAUUACGCGAAAUAAAUAUGUAAAAGGCUAAGAACCUUUGCAAGCUGUCAAGAGGAAAGCAUAAGGUUGAUGCCGUAAAUCAAGGAAAAUACAUCGUAAAUGAUUAUGAAAAAGUGAAAAAAACAAGAAAUGUUAGCUUUGCAUGGAAGCUAUUUGCUAUAGUGGUCAGAUAUUGGCGGUUCCGACAAUUGAACAGAUUCUUGGAGCGGUUAGAACGUGUACAUGCAAUAUUUUAGAUUAAUGUCUCAAAAACGGAUGGCCCAACAGACGGUCAUGGCUAAACGGACGCAGCCCGUUACACUGAUAAUUUAUAUAUAUAUUUCGCAUAUACAUAUAUGAUGGCAGACAAAAUUGGUACUUGCGAGCUAUAAAACAUAACGGUCUUUGACAAUGCAACACAAAUACUCUGCAUUUUCAACGACAAAAUGUGUGUUAUUGUUGUCGAUCCAAGAAAAAUGUGCGCUAAAGCCCGAAGGUGAAAAGCUAUUGCAGCUGCAAUGUUGGUGCCUCACUUGUAGUUUGGCUAUUUGCACCGUUAUGUGUCAACAACAGAGUGCGGAAAAAGUGACAGAACGGCCAGAGAAUGAGUACAAUGUGCAGCAUUCUGCAGAGCCAUUGCAUAAGUGCAAACAUACGCGCAUUUAAAUAGUUUAUUAUGUGCGAGCUCGUCGGUUUGUAGAUAUGUUUGAACAACAGUUACCACCGUUGACCUUACAUGCCAAUUAUCCUAGCCGCCCCUACGUGGGUAUGGCAGCCUAACAAUCACAAAUACAGUAAUAUACGUACAUACAUAUAUAUAUAUAUAUACAUAUGUAUGUGCAAAUGCAAAGGCUCGGUUUUGAUUUUGACAACGUGCACAUGUGCUCAUGUGUAUGCAGAAGUCUGUCGGGAGCACCAGACUGUCACAACCAUGCUGUGUAUCAGUGCAUCCACUUAGAACAAUGUGGUGUUGCUUCACUUCAUGUUUAUAUAUUUUGUAUGUGUGUGUGCAUGACUAUCAGCCAGAGUGUGGUCCACUUCACAAGUGUGUAAAUAUGCAGAUGCUUAGAUUUCUUCUAGCUGGCACAAUGCGUAUGUGUGUAUAAGUGAAAGCCAACAUUUGCAUACUUACAGACGCAUAUAGCAUAUAGACAGCAUUUAAAUAUCUGCAAAUACAUGUGUAACUGUUUGUCUGACUACUUAAAUGCCUGACAUGGCAGGCUCUGAAGCUCUCGGUCAAUCCGCUCACGUACUGGUUGACCAUAACAAACAGCUGCUACAACGAGUUUCCCUUAGCUCACACAUCCAUACACAUACACACAUGGCUGGAUGGAAUGCCACAUUGGGUUAUUGUUUCGAAUGUUGCCAACGCUUUCUUUCUCUCGAAAUAUAUGCGCACGUAAUAUGGAAAUGGAAUGGAAAUAGAAAUGAAAUUGUGCUUGCCGACUCUCGGUCUGUCUGUCGGUGAAGCGUGGUCAGCAAAUCCUUCUUGGCGCUUACAAUUUUCCAUAAUGAUGAUUGCAUUUGUCAUUAUCAGUGCUUACGUUGACCAUUUCCAUAGCGGCCGGGCCCGUCAAUGGCUGCCAUUUAAGUACUGAAUGGAUAGAAUGGCUGUCGGCGCGAGAAUAUAAGAAAUUGUUAGUUACCAGCAAACGUUCACAAUUAUCUCUGGCCGUCAACUUGCUUGUGCCAAAUCUGUGACUUAAUAGCUGACUAAUGGGCGAUUUACAAGCUUACGAUGCUCCCUGCAAACACACAAUGUUGCCUCCAAGUUCAAUGCCAUCAACUGAGGAAAAUUUAGAGUAUUUAAUUUCAGUCUGACAUUGCAAAGCUCCACAUUAAUUGCCUAUCGAUUCAUUAAGGGGACAUGGAAGCAUAAAUACAUAAGUACAUAAUCUCAUUGCGCUUGUUACGGGGACUUUGGAAUGCCAAACUAACUGAUUACUCUCCUGUUGUUAUUAAUAGUAUUCCAAUACUUCACAGAUUGAAAUAAUUUACAUAAUGGAUUGUCUUGGCUUGGUUGUUUUCAUAUUUUGAAUGAAUUGAAUAAAGAACAAAACGUCAAGAACCUGGCAUGAUUUUGAAACGUAUAUACUUACAUACUUAUGAAUAUACAUAUAUGCAUCUAUUUCAAAGUCUUCCCUAAAACUCCAUGUGGAGGUUAUUAAACAUGUCUUUGAACCCACAAGUAUCUUAGCUCCCUUUUCUGGAAUAGUGAGACUUCCAACCUUCAGCCAAAAAGUUCAAUUUAGAUUAAUUUCAGAGUUAUUUCUGUGCUUUCAUUACAACAAUUCAUAUAUUGUCCUGCUUUAAAAAGUUUUCACAUCUGCGUUGUGGGGCGGUUGCGGAAGCGUUGAGAUGCCGGCCUUGGAUAGGUAGCCGUUCGCAAUAAAGGCGGUGGGAGUCGGGACGUUGUCGUGAUGCAACUUCCAAUUGACUGCGAUGUUUUGUCGUACCUGAUUUACUCUUCGUUUGUGCCUCUUGGGAACUUCCACGUAAAACUUGGCGUUGAGGGUUUGUCCAGGAGGAGCAAAUUCAUGGUGGACGAUGCCUUUGAUAUCAAAAAAACAAUGAGCAUCGCUUUCACUUUGGAUUUGCUCAUUCAUCAGCGACCUUUUCCCGGUCCUCCAAAAAGCCUGGUGCCACCGAAACACACCACUUCUUGCUAAAGCAACAUCUGGGUAAGCCUGCUUGAUCAUAUCAAACGUCUCUGUUGCAGAUUUAUCAAGUUUCACAGAGAAUUUAAUUGCGUAUCUCUGUUCUACUGAACCCUGCAUUUGCGGCUUGCACUACUCACAGUAACAAAAUGUUUGUCCUAAUUGUCCAGGUACUCGGGGACAACUAACCAGCCGCUCGUUCGUUACCUAGGAACGCCCUCUACGGAAUCCAAUCGCGGCGGAAAAAAAUCAGUCCUAUUACUUUCUAUGUAUGUACGUGGCAUAGAUUAACAAUAGUGACUAGAUUAAGAAGUUAAGUGUAUGCUGAGGUCACUUCUUCUGCUUUACGCUGUUUAUGACCUUCUACUUCCAAGAGUGUUGCGCACAUAAUAUAAUGCGAGUUACACUUCGGAACGAAUAUGUUAAUCAGAUUAAGCUUGUUUAAUUUGCACAUUUUCGACAAUUUUUCUAAAAUAAUGAUUUAGAAGAAACCAAAAUGGCAAAUCACGCUUUGAUAUUAGAUAAGCUCCAGCGUCUUUCCAUGACGAAGCAGUCGUACAAAAAUAAAUAUGUACAUAUUGCCAAAAUGUGCCCGUCAAAGCGACUAUAAAUUAUGGCUGCCACUAACGUUGUGGCAGCAGUAGUCCUUGGCGAUUGCCUGUACUAACAUACCCAGUUGCUUUUAUUAAGUCGUGAAAUCCUGCUUGAAAAGCAUAAAUAAGCCAUGGGUCAGCGAAUUGUUUUCAUUAUUAUGCUUUUCGCCGGUUGCUGUUAUACGCUUUGUAGGGCCAAGUUGCUUGAGCCGGUCGAUUACCAGGGUGACCUGUUUAUUGGUUUGAAGAAUCAGCAGCCACAUAAACGCUACCAAAGCAAUGAGCCGAGUGAGCUGAACGCCAUCCAAGGAAAGAACGAAAAUGCGGACAUAUUUGAUGAGCUGCAAGCCGAUGUUUACGAAAACCUCGUGCGGUUAAUGAAAGAAAUGCAAAAGGAGCGUGAACGCGUGUCAAUCCGUUAUAAACCGAAUUUAGGCAAACGCUCUCAGUUAUACAAAUAGAAGCCGUUUACCGCCAAGAUAGAGGAUAAACUUACAUAAACAUCCGGAAUACCAUAAGAUGGAAAAUGCAAAAUGUGUAUAUUCGAGCCCAAUAUUGUCCUAGAUAUGUAUGAAAUGUUAAGGCUUUAUAAAAAUAAAAUGUAAAACAGAGUUUUUAGUGUAAGUGUUUAGUUCUAUUAACUGCGUUCAUGUUCUUGGUUUUAGUGUUUGAAAUAUGCUUAAAAUAAACAAAUGAAUACAUAA